rnacentral:rRNA from 1 species
UACGUAGGUGGCGAGCGUUGUCCGGAUUUAUUGGGCGUAAAGCGCGCGCGGGUGGUGCGGUAAGUCUGUCGUGAAAUCUCCCGGCUCAACUGGGAGGGUGCGGUGGAGACUGCCGGACUAGAGGCACUCAGAGGCCGGUGGAAUUCCCGGUGUAGUGGUGAAAUGCGUAGAGAUCGGGAGGAACACCAGAGGCGAAGGCGGCGACCUGGACAGCAACUGACACUCAACUGCGAAAGCGUGGGGAGCAAACAGG